rfam:Otolemur garnettii contig059714, whole genome shotgun sequence.
UUGCUAAAAAAAAAAAAAAAGAGCAAUUGGAAUGAUACAGAGAAGAUUAGCAUGGCCCCUGCGCAACGAUGACAUGUAGAUUCAUGAAGGAUCCAUAUUAAAA